AGUCGAGCGGAGAUGAGGUGCUUGCACCUUAUCUUAGCGGCGGACGGGUGAGUAAUGCUUAGGAAUCUGCCUAUUAGUGGGGGACAACAUUCCGAAAGGAAUGCUAAUACCGCAUACGUCCUACGGGAGAAAGCAGGGGAUCUUCGGACCUUGCGCUAAUAGAUGAGCCUAAGUCGGAUUAGCUAGUUGGUGGGGUAAAGGCCUACCAAGGCGACGAUCUGUAGCGGGUCUGAGAGGAUGAUCCGCCACACUGGGACUGAGACACGGCCCAGACUCCUACGGGAGGCGGCAGUGGGGAAUAUUGGACAAUGGGGGGAACCCUGAUCCAGCCAUGCCGCGUGUGUGAAGAAGGCCUUAUGGUUGUAAAGCACUUUAAGCGAGGAGGAGGCUACUGAGACUAAUACUCUUGGAUAGUGGACGUUACUCGCAGAAUAAGCACCGGCUAACUCUGUGCCAGCAGCCGCGGUAAUACAGAGGGUGCGAGCGUUAAUCGGAUUUACUGGGCGUAAAGCGUGCGUAGGCGGCUUUUUAAGUCGGAUGUGAAAUCCCCGAGCUUAACUUGGGAAUUGCAUUCGAUACCGGGAAGCUAGAGUAUGGGAGAGGAUGGUAGAAUUCC
rnacentral:rRNA from 1 species